AAAAUAUUAUUAAUAGUUUAAGUAAAAUUUUAAAAAAUUUAAAUUUUUAGUAUUUAAAAAGAAAGGAAAAAACUUUUUAGAAAAGAUUAAAACUUAUAUUCCUUGUGUAUCAUGAUUUUAAGAAUUAAAAAAUUAUUUUUAAGUCUCGAAAAAAAAAGAUCUAUAAAUUAUUGGGCUUUAUGUUUCAUUAUAAUGAAAAAAAAAAAUAGAAGUAAAAAACUUUCAAUUUUUUUUAUAUCUAGUUAUUUUAGAAAUAAAUUUAAUUUAAAUAAACAAAGAUAAAAUUGAUAAUGAAGAAUUUAAGGGUUUAGCUUUAAGUUAAAAAAUAUUAUUAAGGGGGAAGAAAUAAGGAAUUAAAUUAACCUAAGAUUUAAAAAUUUUAAUUUUAAUUUAAAGAUUUAAUAAUUUUUUUUUUAUAUAAAAUAAUUUUAUAACUAUUAGAAAAAGAAUAAAAUUUAAAAAUUAGUAAAUAUUAAAAAAAAAAUAAAAACUAGGCAAAAAGAUUUUCGAAUGUUUAACAAAAACAUUGUCUCAUGAAUCUAUUAGAGAUAAAACCUGCUCAGUGAAAAUUAAACAGCAAUAAAUAAGGUAGCAUAAUAACUUGUCUUUUAAUUGAAGGCUAGAAUGAAAGGUAAAACGAAAAAUCAACUUUUUUUUUUUAAAAAUUUAAUUUGACAUUUUAGUUAAAAGGCUAAAAUAAUUAUGAAAGACGAUAAGACCCUAUAGAACUUAAUUAUAAAUUUAAAAAUUAAAAGGUAAAAAUUUUACUGGGGAAGUAAAAAAAUAAAAAUUUUUUAUUAAAAUUACUAUUAAAAGAAUAAUAAACCUUUUAAGAAAAAAAAGUUACCUUAGGGAUAACAGAGCAAAAAUUUUUUAGAGAUCAAAUCAAGAAGAUUAAAUGCUACCUCGAUGUUGAAUUAAGAAAACAUCUAAUAGAAGAAAAUUAGAUUAUAGGUCUGUUCGACCUUUAAAUUCUUACAUGAUUUGAGUUAAGACCGGUGUGAGCCAGGUUGGUUUCUAUCUUCAUAAUAGAGGUUUUUAUAGUACGAAAGGACCUAAAAACUUAAUUUUAUUAAUUAAUUAGCUUAUAAAAAGCAAGUAUUUUGAAAAUACUAGAAAGAUUUAAGAAUUUAUUAAUUU